GAAUAUUGGACAAUGGGGGAAACCCUGAUCCAGCAAUGCCGCGCGAGUGAUGAAGGCCUUAGGGUUGUAAAGCUCUUUCGGCGGGGAAGAUGAUGACGGUACCCGCAGAAGAAGCCCCGGCUAACUUCGUGCCAGCAGCCGCGGUAAUACGGAGGGUGCGAGCGUUAAUCGGAAUUACUGGGCGUAAAGCGUACGUAGGCGGCUUAUUAAGCAAGAUGUGAAAGCCCCGGGCUCAACCUGGGAAUUGCAUUUUGAACUGGUAGGCUCGAGUUUUGAAGAGGGUGGUAGAAUUUCCAGUGUAGCGGUGAAAUGCGUAGAUAUUGGAAGGAAUACCAGUGGCGAAGGCGGCCACCUGGUCAAAAACUGACGCUGAGGUACGAAAGCGUGGGGAGCAAACAGG
rnacentral:rRNA from 1 species